rnacentral:tRNA from 1 species
GGUUUGAUAUCCUUGUGGGGUUACGUUUCGGCCGUAAUUAUUGGAGUUUUUUCUUCUAUCAAAGGU